rnacentral:rRNA from 1 species
CUACGGGCUGCAGCAGUGGGGAAUAUUGGACAAUGGGCGCAAGCCUGAUCCAGCAAUGCCGCGUGAGUGAAGACGGCCUUAGGGUUGUAAAACUCUUUCGCUAGGGAAGAUAAUGACUGUACCUAGUAAAGAAGUCCCGGCUAACUCCGUGCCAGCAGCCGCGGUAAUACGGAGGGGACUAGCGCUGUUCGGAAUUACUGGGCGUAAAGAGUUCGUAGGCGGACUGACAAGUUAGAGGUGAAAUCCCAGGGCUCAACCCUGGAACUGCCUUUAAAACUGUCAGUCUAGGGACCGGAAGAGGUUAGGGGAAUACCUAGUGUAGAGGUGAAAUUCGUAGAUAUUAGGUGGAACACCAGUGGCGAAGGCGCCUAACUGGUCCGGUACUGACGCUGAGGAACGAAAGCGUGGGGAGCAAACAGGAUUAGAUACCCUAGUAGUC